rnacentral:rRNA from 1 species
AGAGUUUGAUCCUGGCUCAGAUUGAACGCUGGCGGCAUGCUUUACACUUGCAAGUCGAGCGGCAGCGCGGGGGCAACCCUGGCGGCGAGCGGCGAACGGGUGAGUAACACAUCGGAACGUGUCCUGUGGUGGGGGAUAACCUGGCGAAAGCCAGGCUAAUACCGCAUAAGCUCGGAAGAGGAAAGCGGGGGCUCGCAAGACCUCGCGCGAGAGGAGCGGCCGAUGUCCGAUUAGCUAGUUGGUGGGGUAAAGGCCCACCAAGGCGACGAUCGGUAGCUGGUCUGAGAGGAUGAUCAGCCACACUGGGACUGAGACACGGCCCAGACUCCUACGGGAGGCAGCAGUGGGGAAUUUUGGACAAUGGGGGCAACCCUGAUCCAGCCAUGCCGCGUGAGUGAAGAAGGCCUUCGGGUUGUAAAGCUCUUUCGGUGGGAACGAAACGGGUAGCGCUAAUACCGCUGCUCAAUGACGGUACUCACAGAAGAAGCACCGGCUAACUACGUGCCAGCAGCCGCGGUAAUACGUAGGGUGCGAGCGUUAAUCGGAAUUACUGGGCGUAAAGCGUGCGCAGGCGGUGCACCAAGCUCGAUGUGAAAGCCCCGGGCUUAACCUGGGAAUUGCAUUGAGGACUGGUGCGCUCGAGUGCGGCAGA